UACGUAGGGUGCGAGCGUUAAUCGGAAUUACUGGGCGUAAAGCGUGCGCAGGCGGUUUGUUAAGACAGAUGUGAAAUCCCCGGGCUUAACCUGGGAACUGCAUUUGUGACUGGCAAGCUAGAGUAUGGCAGAGGGGGGUAGAAUUCCACGUGUAGCAGUGAAAUGCGUAGAUAUCAGGAGGAACACCGGUGGCGAAGGCGGCUACCUGGACAGAAACUGACGCUGAGGCACGAAAGCUAGGGGAGCAAACAGG
rnacentral:rRNA from 1 species